GAACCCUUGCUUCUCUUGAGAGCGGCGGACGGGUGAGUAAUGCCUAGGAAUCUGCCUGGUAGUGGGGGAUAACGUUCGGAAACGAACGCUAAUACCGCAUACGUCCUACGGGAGAAAGCAGGGGACCUUCGGGCCUUGCGCUAUCAGAUGAGCCUAGGUCGGAUUAGCUAGUUGGUGGGGUAAUGGCUCACCAAGGCGACGAUCCGUAACUGGUCUGAGAGGAUGAUCAGUCACACUGGAACUGAGACACGGUCCAGACUCCUACGGGAGGCAGCAGUGGGGAAUAUUGGACAAUGGGCGAAAGCCUGAUCCAGCCAUGCCGCGUGUGUGAAGAAGGUCUUCGGAUUGUAAAGCACUUUAAGUUGGGAGGAAGGGCCAUUACCUAAUACGUGAUGGUUUUGACGUUACCGACAGAAUAAGCACCGGCUAACUCUGUGCCAGCAGCCGCGGUAAUACAGAGGGUGCAAGCGUUAAUCGGAAUUACUGGGCGUAAAGCGCGCGUAGGUGGUUUGUUAAGUUGGAUGUGAAAUCCCCGGGCUCAACCUGGGAACUGCAUUCAAAACUGACUGACUAGAGUAUGGUAGAGGGUGGUGGAAUUUCCUGUGUAGCGGUGAAAUGCGUAGAUAUAGGAAGGAACACCAGUGGCGAAGGCGACCACCUGGACUGAUACUGACACUGAGGUGCGAAAGCGUGGGGAGCAAACAGGAUUAGAUACCCUGGUAGUCCACGCCGUAAACGAUGUCAACUAGCCGUUGGGAGCCUUGAGCUCUUAGUGGCGCAGCUAACGCAUUAAGUUGACCGCCUGGGGAGUACGGCCGCAAGGUUAAAACUCAAAUGAAUUGACGGGGGCCCGCACAAGCGGUGGAGCAUGUGGUUUAAUUCAAAGCAACGCGAAGAACCUUACCAGGCCUUGACAUCCAAU
rnacentral:rRNA from 1 species